rnacentral:rRNA from 1 species
GUAAAGCGAAUGAUUAGAGGCCUCAGGGGUGGAACGUCCUUGACCUAUUCUCAAACUUUAAAUGGGUAAGAACCCUGGGUUGCUUAAUUGAACCCGGCGGUCGAAUGACGGUUGCUAGUGGGCCAAUCUGGGUAAGCUAGAUUGGCGAUGCGGGAUGAACCGAACGUCAAGUUAAAGUGCCAAAGUAUCCGCUAACCUAGAUCCCACAAAAGGUGUUGGUUCAUUAAGACAGCAGGACGGUGGCCAUGGAAG